GUAUGACACACACAUCACGGUUCUCGAUGCGGCCCUUGAGACUGGGCAGUUGAUCAUCAUGGAGACCCGCAAGAAAGAUGGCACUUGGCCCAGCGCACAGCUACAUGUCAUGAACAACAACAUGUCGGAAGAGGAUGAGGACUUCAAGGGCCAGCCAGGCAUCUGUGGCCUCACCAAUCUGGGCAACACGUGCUUCAUGAACUCGGCCCUGCAGGUUGGGCCAUUAUAGUUGUGUCUGGCACAGCCACGGGGUUGGGCUUCAAGAGCUGAGGAUUGGGGACAGAGCUGGGGUCCUGAGGGGACUACAGGGCAAGGGGUCAGGAUGAAAGCUGAAGCCCCACAAGUCUGAAGUGACACGCCCAUGUUCAUUCCUGAACUAUCAGCUUCUUCUCUCAGCUUGCCCUCGUUUUCCCUCUUCUCUUCCCUGUUCCCACAUUCUUCCUUCUCGUGAAAUCCUAAUGCCUUCUCUCCCCUACUCUCCUGCUCCUCUCUCCUCCCUUCCCCUUCUCUCUCG
rnacentral:sRNA from 1 species